UCGAGCGCGCCCUUCGGGGUGAGCGGCGGACGGGUGAGUAACGCCUGGGAAUAUGCCCUUCUCUAAGGAAUAGCCUCUGGAAACGGAGAGUAAUACCUUAUACGCCCUUCGGGGGAAAGAUUUAUCGGAGAAGGAUUAGCCCGCGUUAGAUUAGGUAGUUGGUGGGGUAAUGGCCUACCAAGCCUACGAUCUAUAGCUGGUUUGAGAGGAUGAUCAGCCACACUGGGACUGAGACACGGCCCAGACUCCUACGGGAGGCAGCAGUAGGGAAUCUUAGACAAUGGGGGCAACCCUGAUCUAGCCAUGCCGCGUGUGUGAUGAAGGCCCUAGGGUCGUAAAGCACUUUCGCCAGAGAUGAUAAUGACAGUAUCUGGUAAAGAAACCCCGGCUAACUCCGUGCCAGCAGCCGCGGUAAUACGGAGGGGGUUAGCGUUGUUCGGAAUUACUGGGCGUAAAGCGCACGUAGGCGGAUUAGUAAGUUAGAGGUGAAAUCCCAGGGCUCAACCCUGGAACUGCCUUUAAUACUGCUAGUCUUGAGUUCGAGAGAGGUAAGUGGAAUUCCGAGUGUAGAGGUGAAAUUCGUAGAUAUUCGGAGGAACACCAGUGGCGAAGGCGGCUUACUGGCUCGAUACUGACGCUGAGGUGCGAAAGUGUGGGGAGCAAACAGGAUUAGAU
rnacentral:rRNA from 1 species